GAAACUACUCCACAUGCUUGAUGAUAGCGAAGUAGUGUAUGAAGACGAGGAAGGCCCUAUUACUCAAGCAGACUUGCAAAGGUGGUUUGUUGAUGAUUGGGAUAAAAGAGCUCCUGUAAAAGUCUCUACCGAUGGGUGCACAAAUGACUUUUUAAUGGUUGGUCUUUCCACAAAGGACAUGCCAGUGACCAAAGCCGAUUCAAUAGAUGUUUUAUGUGAUUAUAUCAUGGCAAUAGAAGACGAUACGACACUAGAGAGAACAUGGGUGCGAAGUUUCAAUCCUUUUAAGAUAGAAAUAUCUGUCAAAGACCUGCAAAACAUAUUAACGAUAAAUCAAGAUAUGAUUAUAAGAUGCUUUGACAUGGCUGUUCGGCUGCUUGCCAAUAAAGAGUCACGUAGGCCGAAAGAAGAAAUCAUAAAUAAUAGAAAGCAUUAUAUGGACAUGCGUUUUUGGAGAAUGGUUGGUU